rnacentral:rRNA from 1 species
GGAGGAUCCGAGCGUUAUCCGGAUUUAUUGGGUCUAAAGGGUGCGUAGGCGGCCUAUUAAGUCAGGGGUGAAAUACGGUGGCUCAACCAUCGCAGUGCCUUUGAUACUGAUGGGCUUGAAUCCAUUUGAAGUGGGCGGAAUAAGACAAGUAGCGGUGAAAUGCAUAGAUAUGUCUUAGAACUCCGAUUGCGAAGGCAGCUCACUAAGCUGGUAUUGACGCUGAUGCACGAAAGCGUGGGGAUCGAACAGGAUUAGAUACCCUGGUAGUCCACGCCCUAAACGAUGAUAACUCGAUGUUGGCGAUAGACAGCCAGCGUCCCAGCGAAAGCGUUAAGUUAUCCACCUGGGGAGUACGCCCGCAAGGGUGAAACUCAAAGGAAUUGACGGGGGCCCGCACAAGCGGAGGAGCAUGUGGUUUAAUUCGAUGAUACGCGAGGAACCUUACCCGGGCUUGAAAGUUAGUGAAGAGUGCAGAGACGCACUCGUCCUUCGGGACACGAAACUAGGUGC